CUGCCCUUCCCGAGGGCAGCAGCCGCAGGCCGGAGAUAAGCGCUAGCACGGCGCGGGGCUCUGCCUGGGCUAGUGGCACCGACUUGGGAAUACGUUUGGGAAACCCUGUCACCCUCUGCCCUGGACAUUUCCAGUCGAGGGGCAGGGAGGAGAAACAGGCCAAGAGAGUUCCCCGGACUUCGGGCAGUUGACCUCACCUGUCACCCCAAUGAAGAACCUGCAAACCAAUCUUUGGGGGCCUCGGAUAGGGCCUCUUUUCUCGAGAGACCUCCCAGAGAGCAAACGGGGCUGCCUUUGGUUAUGUCGGUAGGCAUAAACACUGAAACCCUGGCAGCCCGCAGAGAAGGAGCCUGGGGGAGCUGCACGGUGUUCGCGCAGGGAAAUGGGACGCUCUGGACUCGGGUACACACGCGAGUCUAGAGACCCCGGGGUCCAGCUCUCCUGUGGGGGGUGUCACAGCCCCAACAUGCAGGUCACUCACAGGGAAAGACUGAUAAAGCUCUGACCUCAAGUGCAACCGACCUCUGUGGUAUUCCACCCCCAACCCCCAACUAAUUCGUGGUGUACACGGGCGCUGAGCAGAGGAAAGGCCUGCUUGUGCCCGGUAAUACUUCCACAACUUUAAGGAGGACAGUCUUCCUCCCUUCUCUCGCCUCUCUCAACUCCCCAGAUUCAGAAGCAAACUCUGCAAGGGGGUCUGUGUGUGGCAAAAAAAAAAGAGAGAAAUGGAGCUUUCGUGCAAUUCCAAGGUGUCAACGGCCGGUCCUCCUCAAAGGAAGGUGUUAAAAAUAUAAGUAGUAUGUUUAAACUGUCAGGGAGCCAAAGUGUCACCUUAGAGCAAAAACAAAGCCAAGGGAAAAGGGAGAAAUCAAAAAGCACUCCCGGCCAGGGUGGCCUCAUGCAUACCAAUGGUUUUUGUCAUUUACGGCUGGGCAAGAUUUAUGACUCGGCGCCCCAACGCUGUAAACAGAGCACAAAACAGCAAACACUUGCUCCUUAUGGCAUAUUGCGGCAGCGCAACUUGAAAGGGGGAGCGGGGCCGCGCGUAGGAGGCCAGAGCCUGUCGCAAAAAUCCGCUCGGCGGCAUUUUCUCUUCAAACCGUCGGGGUUGGAUGUGGCAUUUGAAGAAAGAAGGCGUGGGUCAAUAAUCAACCCGUACUUUCUCCUCCAAACUGCUGAUGUGACUCUCACGCCUCCUCAACUAAGCCAGCUGCAUGCAGGGAUGGCCAGCUCUCUGAGAACCUGCCAGGGAAGGGGACGCCCGGGCCAAGGGAGCCGAGGGCACCGAGGUGAGGGCUGGAGCGCCCAGGGCGCAUACCUUUCUACCUGCGCCAGGACCGUGCCGGGGCAAAACGCGGGGGCUGGACCCGCGGAGCUGGGGAGCCUGGGGAGAAAGCAAGGACAGGAGCUCCGCCUGCCCAGAAUAGGUGGCUUCUGGGCACCGGCUGCCGCGGGCAGAAGCGGGGCCUCUGACCUCGAGGCUGGAGUCUGGCGCCUUGGCACGCAGACUUCCUGGAAGUCAGGCCUCUCUGCUAAAAUCCAAAGUGCUGGCUUUGGGAGCAAGGCAGGUGAGGUGAUUACAAAAUAAUAAUUUAUAAUAGCUGAAGGCAUUUUGUUUGUUUCUGUUUUUAAGGGAGAAAAAAUACCUCCUGUCGGUUUCCCAUUGCCUGAAACUACCCGGUCUCUGCCGCCGGCCCUUUCUAAGCAAAUCCCGCAGCGACUCACCCGGCUCCACCAAAACCACUGAGGUUUUCUUGGCGAGGACCGUUUGGCUCCCCAGUUCCCCGAAGUCCCUGUGCUCCCUACCUCCCUUGCCCAUGGGGACCAAAAGAAAACAUUUUCUCAGCUCUAGAAGAAUGUUUGAGACACCGAAGGUGUGCUGGUGCCCUUCUCAGGGAUCUGCUGGUGAAAGCGCCUGAGAGGGCCUGGGUGGCUGGGGGUGGGGUCGGGGGACCGCUGGCUGUGCGGCCGGCCGGGGACCAAGGUGAGGAGUAACUGUUGGCAAGAAGAGGCAGGGAAAUCCCAGAAUGGGGAGGGAAAUUAACGAGGAAAUGCACUUGCCUGUGAGGGUGAGGCUGGCAUUUUGAGGGUGAAAAUGGACUAAGCCCUUUUUACAGCCACAGUUUAGCUAUAACAGAGUGGCUGCAGCUCUUUCCUUGGAGGAAAAACCAACCUGUGUCCUGCUCUGUGACUGUUGGUCUCUUCUCACUGUGCGUGCUUUUGCACAGAACCAGCUCGAGGGUCCUUCCUUAGAUAUUUAUGUUGCUUGCUGGUACUGAAGCGACAAUAAAAAGAUGCCUUUAACAAA